rnacentral:rRNA from 1 species
AGCGAACGCUGGCGGCAGGCCUAACACAUGCAAGUCGAACGAACUCUUCGGAGUUAGUGGCGGACGGGUGAGUAACACGUGGGAACGUGCCUUUUGGUUCGGAAUAACUCAGGGAAACUUGUGCUAAUACCGAAUGUGCCCUUCGGGGGAAAGAUUUAUCGCCAUUAGAGCGGCCCGCGUCUGAUUAGCUAGUUGGUGAGGUAACGGCUCACCAAGGUGACGAUCAGUAGCUGGUCUGAGAGGAUGACCAGCCACACUGGGACUGAGACACGGCCCAGACUCCUACGGGAGGCAGCAGUGGGGAAUCUUGCGCAAUGGGCGAAAGCCUGACGCAGCCAUGCCGCGUGAAUGAUGAAGGUCUUAGGAUUGUAAAAUUCUUUCACCGGGGACGAUAAUGACGGUACCCGGAGAAGAAGCCCCGGCUAACUUCGUG